UGGCGUUUCUCCGAAGCAUGUGGGGCGUGCUGAGUGCCCUGGGAAGGUCUGGAGCAGAGCUGUGCACCGGCUGUGGAAGUCGACUGCGCUCCCCCUUCAGUUUGUGUAUUUACCGAGGUGGUUUUCAUCUGUCUUGGCAAGUUGUCCAAAGAAACCUGUAAGUUCUUACCUUCGAUUUUCUAAAGAACAACUACCCAUAUUUAAAGCUCAGAACCCAGUGCAAAAACUACAGAACUAAUUAGAAGAAUUGCCCAGCGUUGGAGGGAACUUCCUGAUUCAAAGAAAAAAUAUAUCAAGAUGCUUAUAGGGCGGAGUGGCAGGUAUAUAAAGAAGAGAUAAGCAGAUUUAAAGAACAGCUAACUCCAAGUCAGAUUAUGUCUUUGGAAAAAGAAAUCAUGGACAAACAUUUAAAAAGGAAAGCUAUGACAAAAAAAAAAAGUUAACACUGCUUGGAAAACCAAAAAGACCUCGUUCAGCUUAUAACGUUUAUGUAGCUGAAAGAUUCCAAGAAGCUAAGGGUGAUUCACCGCAGAAAAGCUGAAGACUGUAAAGGAAAACUGGAAAAAUCUGUCUGACUCUGAAAAGGAAUAUAUAUUCAGCAUGCUAAAGAGGACGAAACUCGUUAUCAUAAUGAAAUGAAGUCUUGGGAAGAACAAAUGAUUGAAGUUGGACGAAAGGAUCUUCUACGUCGCACAAUAAAGAAACAACGAAAAUAUGGUGCUGAGGAGUGU
rnacentral:lncRNA from 1 species